UCUCGGCUUAUCACCGGCAGUCCCCCUAGAGUGCCCAACUAAAUGAUGGCAACUAGGGGCGAGGGUUGCGCUCGUUGCGGGACUUAACCCAACAUCUCACGGCACGAGCUGACGACAGCCAUGCAGCACCUGUGUUCCCGCCAGCCGAACUGAAGGGGUGCAUCUCUGCUCCCCAUACGGGACAUGUCAAAAGCUGGUAAGGUUCUGCGCGUUGCUUCGAAUUGAACCACAUGCUCCACCGCUUGUGCGGGCCCCCGUCAAUUCCUUUGAGUUUUAGCCUUGCGGCCGUACUCCCCAGGCGGGGUGCUUAAUGCGUUAGCUUCGGCACGGGCGGGGUCGAUAUCCGCCCACACCUAGCGCCCAUCGUUUACGACUAGGACUAC
rnacentral:misc_RNA from 1 species